CUUAUUACUCCUCACAGCCCAGCUUAUCUCCUUUACUCUAUUCCACACAAGAAUAGUCUCAUAUCAGCCACAUAUAUGAAUAAUUAAUACAUAUAAGGUUACAUAGCUUACUUACCAAUCAUAACUUAUGUUUUUCAAAAUAACUUGUACUAGACUUUCAUAUGAUUACCCCAUAUAGCAAUUUCAUUAUUUAUAUCCAACUAGAAUUCAAGAUUUACUUUGCUCCCUGAUGAGGACAUGGCAUGCGUGGACUCAAAUAAAACUAAAGGGACGUGGGGAUCAAGCAAGCUAGAACUAAGAGGUUCAAAUAAGGUUUCAAUGGAUUGAUCCAAGAUGUUUGGGAUGAAGCUGACGCAAGAAAACUAAGAGAAUGUUAAAGAGCA
rnacentral:lncRNA from 1 species